UACGGAGGGGGCUAGCGUUGUUCGGAAUUACUGGGCGUAAAGGGCGCGUAGGUGGCCUUCUAAGUUGAACGUGAAAUCCCUGGGCUCAACCCAGGAACUGCGUCCAAGACUGGGAGGCUUGAAUCCGGGAGAGGGAUGCGGAAUUCCAGGUGUAGCGGUGAAAUGCGUAGAUAUCUGGAGGAACACCGGUGGCGAAGGCGGCAUCCUGGACCGGUAUUGACACUGAGGCGCGAAAGCCAGGGGAGCAAACGGG
rnacentral:rRNA from 1 species